rnacentral:rRNA from 1 species
GAACUUAAGCAUAUCAAUAAGCGGAGGAAAAGAAACCAACAGGGAUUGCCUCAGUAACGGCGAGUGAAGCGGCAACAGCUCAAAUUUGAAAUCUGGCUCUUUCAGGGUCCGAGUUGUAAUUUGUAGAAGAUGCUUCGGGUGUGGCCCCGGUCUAAGUUCCUUGGAACAGGACGUCAUAGAGGGUGAGAAUCCCGUAUGUGACUGGGUGCCUAUGCUCAUGUGAAGCUCUUUCGACGAGUCGAGUUGUUUGGGAAUGCAGCUCUAAAUGGGUGGUAAAUUUCAUCUAAAGCUAAAUAUUGGCCAGAGACCGAUAGCGCACAAGUAGAGUGAUCGAAAGAUGAAAAGCACUUUGGAAAGAGAGUUAAACAGUACGUGAAAUUGUUGAAAGGGAAGCGCUUGCAACCAGACUUGCACGCUGUCGAUCAUCCGAGAUUUUUCCCGGUGCACUCGACUGCGUUCAGGCCAGCAUCGGUUUCGGUGGUUGGAUAAAGGCCUUGGGAAUGUGGCUCCUCUCGGGGAGUGUUAUAGCCCUCGGUGCAAUGCAGCCUACCGGGACCGAGGACCGCGCUUCGGCUAGGAUGCUGGCGUAAUGGUUGUAAGCGACCCGUCUUGAAACACGGACCAAGGAGUCUAACAUCUAUGCGAGUGUUUGGGUGUCAAACCCAUACGCGUAAUGAAAGUGAACGGAGGUGAGAACCCUUAAGGGUGCAUCAUCGACCGAUCCUGAUGUCUUCGGAUGGAUUUGAGUAAGAGCAUAGCUGUUGGGACCCGAAA